UUUCUGGAAAGGCUGUAGCUCAGUGGCUGAGCAUCUGCUUUGCAUGCAGAAGGUGCCAGGCAGGGCUGGGAAAGAGUCCCUGUCUGAAAU